rnacentral:tmRNA from 1 species
GGGGAUGACCGGCUUUUGACAGGGCAGGUGUGAGAUGUCGUUGCACUCCGAGUUUCAGCAUGGAUGGACUCGUAAAAGAAGUCUAUGCAACUACUAGAUGCAGACGAUCAUUCGUAUGCAAUGGCUGCCUGAUUAGCACACAGUUAAUUUAGAGCGCCAUCGUUCGGCAGGGGAGGUGCUUACUCUGAAGCUGUCGAAUGGCAUAACCCGCGCUUGAGCUCUAGCUCGCGCAAGUAAGCUUCACGUGUCUGUGCCCGGAAAGGCUCGUGAAUAUCACUCCGGGAUAGUGCUGUGAACUCUGUCGGUGGAGUCGUACAGCACGAACCUUCAAACACCGGAGAUGAGUGUGGUAGCGGUGUCAACCACUGUUCUGGACGCGGGUUCGAUUCCCGCCAUCUCCACCA